GAAAAAUUAGUUAAUUUAUUAUAACAUAAGCUUGUCACGCUUAAGUAAUCAAAGUAUUUGAUAUUUUUCA